GACGAAGGGGGCUAGCGUUGCUCGGAAUCACUGGGCGUAAAGGGUGCGUAGGCGGGGCUUUAAGUCAGGGGGGAAAUCCUGGAGCUCAACUCCAGAACUGCCUUUGAUACUGAGGAUCUUGAGUUCGGGAGAGGUGAGUGGAACUGCGAGUGUAGAGGUGAAAUUCGUAGAUAUUCGCAAGAACACCAGUGGCGAAGGCGGCUCACUGGCCCGAUACUGACGCUGAGGCACGAAAGCGUGGGGAGCAAACAGG
rnacentral:rRNA from 1 species